CAUUCGAAGCAAACAGUUUGAGACAUCGCAACCAUUCGGAGCCAUCUGCGCUCGAUGCUGGCCAUUUCUUAUUUCUCAAGCGUGAAGAAAAGAAAGGUGGACGUGUUUGCGUUUCCCGCUGGAGACCCCCACCCUUGAGUUCCAUCAUGGCCACCGUCGGUCUCACCCAAGUUUGUUUCGGGUCAUGACGUUGUAUCGAAGGAGACAGGCGGCGUGCUUUGGGGAGGCCACCUCUGCCCCGCCUGACAGCUUGAGUUACGCCAACGCACGAACGGCGCCCCGGCCCCGAAAGCCCCGAGCGGCCGGCCCCGACGACCCCGUCACCUCCGACCUCCCGACCCGCGCCGGUGUGGGUGUCGCGCGCCCAGCUGGAUGAGGCGACCGACCAGGGGCUGCAGUGACACCGUGUGGCCGGGCGAGGAGCUGCAGCAGCAACCAACAGACCCGGCGGGUCAAACGUGUUCGCAUAUGAGGACAGGUAGCAGAUCUAAGUGGCUGAAUUUUUGUUUGUGUAAGUGUGCGUUCGUGUGUUGGUGCGAGUAGGCGGGUGGGUCUUUUCGUAUGGCGGCCGCCCGUACGUGUCGGCGGCGUCACGCUCGGUUUGCGAGCGGUGACGCGUGCGUGCGACCUGCGCGUCUUGUUGGGGAAUGCGGUUCGAGGCCUCACCCGGACUUGACCCUGGCGGAGAAGACGAAUACGUGGGGGGAAGAAAAGCGUCUGUGUGUUACCUCGAGCCGAGAAGAAGCUGCCGCCGCCUGUGAUUGACAGCUCACUUUAUUUCCCUCCUCCUUAUUUUGUUGAUUCAACGGGCGGUGUUUGUUUUUUACGGAACGGCAGGAAGCUUGCCCGCUUCUGCGUCUCCCCGCGCACACCCCGGCCCCACCCACAGAUGCUUAUAAAUGUCAACAUACGCUCCCACUUAGACUGACACUCCCCCGGGGACAACAGCAAGUGUUUCUUAUGCUAAUCACUUAUCUUCCUCUGGCGGCCAGCUUUUGGUGCGCCAAAGAACGGGGGUUGGUGGGGAGGAGGGGCGGGGCUUCAAACGGGGGAUAAUGAGACCACCGCAUCUCAGCCGGGGUGAAGUAACCGAAACCGAUCCGUGGAAGUCCAAACCAACUGAUGCAAGUUCAAAACCCACACUCGGAAGUCCAAAACUGUCCCGUAAAAGUGGAAAAGCAUCCAUGGAUGUCAAAACUGAUCCACGGAAGUCCAGAACCUACUCAAGGAGCUCCAGAACUGACUCAAGUGCAACGUUUACCCCAAACCAAGUCGUGGAAAUCUAACAUUGACCCAAGGACUUCCAGAACCAACUCUUGGCGGUCUUUCAUUGAAAAGAACCCCGUUUCUGCUGCUCUGUCUGCGUCUCACCACUCGGUGGUGCUGCCCCAAAUCUGAUUUAAAGCGGUGCUCACGCUUCCUCAGUGGUCCUCGCCAUGUGCGGCCCACGUGCGAAUUGUCAUCACCGUCGAAACGCCGGGAGCCCGCGGCGACGGCCCGCCCACACGACACCAUGUUGGCUAACGGGAAGUGAGACGGCAAGACGGGCAGACAAUGGAUCUUCGCCGGCCUCAGCGUCCCACGCUCGUCCGGGCUCCCUGGCCCCCGGCAGAUAACCGGUCCGUGUCCAGGAUCCGAUCCCGGGCGUGUCACUGGAACGGUUCUGCCGGAGGGGGGGGCCGGGCAGCGUGGGCGGGGCCGACGCGAUACCGCCGAGGGGCCCGCGGGUAGCGGCGUGAACAGUCGGCGUCCCAUCUUGUCCGUUCAGACGGCGCUGGUCACGCUCCAUUUAUGGGAGCGCUUCACGGUCCCACGCCGCGUUUGGACCGGUCGCUCGGACGGCGUCUGAGCGUGGUGGAAGAGAGAUAGAGAACCUUUGGAACAAAAGCGAUUGAAACGAGUGUCAAGAAGAUGAAGAAGGAGGCCAUGUUGGGAAUCACUCCCGAUCCACUGACGCCCUCAAUAAUGUUCCUAUUUGCUGAAGUUUGGCCCACCGUAUCCUCACCUGUUGUUUGCGCCCUGUCUCAUGUCAAAGUAUCGCUUUGGGGCCAUCCUUCUGCUGUGCCCGCUUUGGCCACCUGGAAACCGAAGGAUUCAGACACGCGCUGGACGUGGAGCCACGUCUCAACAAGGCGCAGUCGCGUUUGCCGUUCUUUCCUGAGGAUAAAGAAUAGAUACCCAAGAGCGUCGUGUGUGUUUGCUCUCUUUGUGUUCAGA